GGUAUUAUUGGUAUAAACUGCUUAAUUCCUUUAUGUAAAGCCACCUUAACAUGUUUUUGCAUAAUUCUGACUCACGUUGGUUGCUAUCGGGCUUAAGCCAUAAAAAUCGAAGAAAAAAAGAAGAAGACGCCCACUUUCACUUGUCAUUUCAAUGUCACUUUCCGGCCCACAAGCAUAAACGCCACCGGCAACGGGAGUUCCCAAAAUCGAAACAAAUGUUGGAAGAUAUUUUUAAGUUUCCACAUCUUUCUUACUUUUCUAUAUGAAAAUAAAAUUGGACUACACCAACAAAGGUUAUGUGUUUGGCACCAGAUUGAAACCAUCAUAGCGAAAAACGGACCUGUCAUUUCUUUAAAUUUCCAAAAGAGCCCCUGGAAAAAGAAAAAUUAAUAUCUCUGCUAAGGAAUACUAAGGCAAAUGGAUAAAAAACCUUCAGUCCAUGCAUUGGUAUGUAAUUGUUGACAAAAAUACAAUGAAUGGCCUCACUACUUUUCCACAUGCAAAGAGGUUAACCAAGGAGAAAUUAAAGAAAUUGUCAAAAACCUAGGUAAAUACAGAAUUGCUUAGUACAAACAUAUCUAUACCCAGUACAAGUUCGUCCACUUCUUUGAAGCAUGGUACUUCAAACAGAGACACUGUCAACAAUUUUGUAGAAGGUGAGCCGGUGUCAAAUUCCAGUAAGGGACAUGAUUUCAAUUUUGCACCAACAGCAGAGCUAAAAUUCAUUUUGUCGCAAAAAACUGGAGGAUGUGAAAGAAAAAAGUGCAGAAGUUAAAAUUAAGUUUUUCAUAUGAGCACAUAAAAAAUAAUCAUGACAAAGUUCAGUUGUAUACAGGUUUGACAUGUAAUAAAUAUUUUUGUAAUCUUAUUAAGUUAAUUAGUUUUAUAUAUUAUUUAAAUAAUAAUUGUAUACUUCACAUAGAAUAUGCAGAAAUUAUAUGUACAUAUAUAAAUUUUUUUAUUAAGAUAAGGACAACAUGUAUUAAAGCAUAACACAUAAUAUAAACACACACGUAAUAUCUUCAUUAAAAAUUCUGAUUGUAUGUUAUGUAGCAUUAGAGCCUAAAAACAUUAAGGAGAAUAAAGGUCGUUAUUGGCAAAUGACAAUAUUAUUUUCUCUAUUUCCUACAUUUUUGGUGAAGGGAAUAGGCUCUGCCCUAAAAAGCUAGGUUAAACCAAGAGCAAAAAAGUUUAGGUCUCAUGAGUGUAAGUAAAGUAAACCUUUCUAUUAAAAAGGCCAUCCAAGAUAAAAAAAAUAUACUAAAAAUAUUAAUGUUAAUUCUUUAGCGACAUCUAGGGUGGAUAUGCUGAAUCAACUCAUCAAUUAAUUCACUGUCGUACUGAUGAAAGUUAUGGCGUAUUCACCAAAGUAUGCAGAUAAUCGCUGAUUUCAAAAUAAUUUUAUUUGCGUUUUCAAAUUAUGCUUAAAAUUCAA